rnacentral:sRNA from 1 species
GCAAGAGAAUCGCUUAAGCCCAAGAGUUUGAGGUUGUUGUAUGCUGUGAUGCCACAGCAUUCUACCCAGGGCAACAGCUUGAGACUUUGUCUCAAAAACAGCUUAAGAGUCUCUCUCUUUUUUUUGUAGAGACAGAGUCUCACUUUGUUGCCUUUGGUAGAGUGCUAUGGCGUCACAGCUCACAGCAACCUCCAACUCCUGGGCUUAAGUGAUUCUCUUGCCUCAGCCUCCCAAGUAGCUGGGACUACAGGCACCUGCCACAGUGCCCAGC